rnacentral:tRNA from 1 species
GUGGUUGUGGCUCAGGGGUAGAGUGCUCGCCUAGCACGUCCGAGGCCCUGGGUUCAAUCCUCAGCACCACA